AACGAACGCUGGCGGCAUGCCUAACACAUGCAAGUCGAACGAGACCUUCGGGUCUAGUGGCGCACGGGUGCGUAACGCGUGGGAAUCUGCCCUUUGGUUCGGAAUAACAGUUGGAAACGACUGCUAAUACCGGAUGAUGACGAAAGUCCAAAGAUUUAUCGCCAGAGGAUGAGCCCGCGUAGGAUUAGCUAGUUGGGGUGGUAAAGGCGCACCAAGGCGACGAUCCUUAGCUGGUCUGAGAGGAUGAUCAGCCACACUGGGACUGAGACACGGCCCAGACUCCUACGGGAGGCAGCAGUGGGGAAUAUUGGACAAUGGGCGAAAGCCUGAUCCAGCAAUGCCGCGUGAGUGAUGAAGGCCUUAGGGUUGUAAAGCUCUUUUACCCGGGAUGAUAAUGACAGUACCGGGAGAAUAAGCUCCGGCUAACUCCGUGCCAGCCGCCGCAGUAAAAC
rnacentral:rRNA from 1 species